GCGAGUGAAGCAGCUUGCUCAAAGUCGUCUAGCUAUUAAGUAGUAUUAAGUAUUGGAUAGUUUUAAGUGGUAGGAUUACGGGGUGUAUGGCUUUCCUAGGGCUACUGUAACCAAUAACCAGAAAUUUAGUGGCUUAAGACAACAGGUGUUCUUUCACGGUUCUGGAGGCCAGAAAUCCAAAAUCAGGGUGUCGGCGGGUCUGCGCUGCCCCAGGAGUCUGCGGGGGAGGGUCCGUCCUUACCUCUUCCGGCUGCUGGUGGUUCCAGGUGUCCUUGGCUUGUGGCUGCAUCGCUCCAGGCUCUGCCUCUGUCUUCACCUCCCCUCUAGUGUCUGAGUCAAAUCUGUCCUCUCUCCUCUCUCUAAUUAGGACACCUGCUAGUGGGUUUAGAACCCAUCUAAAAUCCAGGAUGAUCUCAUCUUGAGAUCCUUAAUUUUUAGGUGUCCAAAUAAGGUCACGUUCAUAGGUGCCAGCGAUUAGGACGUGGGCAUACCUGUUUAGGGGGCCGCUGUUCAACCCACUGCAUGAGAAUUUACUGCUUUGUAGUAGGUUCCUUUGAAGAUCACAUUUCGCCGUCUCCACGUCUUAGGUAGACUGCAACAAAAAGACACACACACACACACACACACGCAAACAUGUGCCCUCAAGCCGAGAGUAGAGGACUUAAGGGGUCGCUGUGUUUCAAAGUCAUUCGUUUACUCAACAGAUAUUUAUUGAUAUGUAUGAAAGCGCUCUUAAUUAAGUGACAAUUAGAGGGUUGUUCUCUGCACACUGUGACCCUGGUCAGGCGGGCUGUAGCAGGCUUUACAAGGCAGCUCUGAGAUAUUAGGCUUUUAUGAGAGGGCAUGUGGGCUGCCCAGCCUGUCCUGGCUUCGUAUACUUUUAUUUUAUUAUUUUUAUGAACUGCCUUUAUUAAAAUGCGCGACUUAACGUAGGCUUCCAGAAAGAAAUUCACAAAUCAGAAGGUCUUUCAAAAGUAUUAAAAGAAAGUGGAAUGCUCUUUGCCAAUCGGCCCGUCCCAGUAAAAUAUGGUCGCCACAUGUCGGGGAAGGACGGACCGUUCCUGGGCUGCGUUCACCGUGCAUUCAAUAAACAGCCACGUGGUAACAUUAUUAUUCGUCUUCCUGCUCUCCUGCCUCCUGGUUUUGUCUCUGCCUCUGUCUUUCCCAGCAAAUAUAAUCCGGGGGCACCUGGACCCCGCCUGGCUGGCCUCUCUGAUUACGCCCAAGGAUUAAAAAACAGGACAGGAAAGUGCAAAGGUCACACAGCUCAGAAGUUACACAGCCGCAAUUCCAGUCCAGCUGUGAUAGAUCCAGCACAAAAAUGUCCCCUGCCUUUAUCCACAUCCGUGGCAGGAGACUUUGCAGCUCUUCCCAUCAGGAGACAGAGCCUGUUUCCCCACCUCUGGCAUCGGGGCUGGCCGUGUGACCUGUCUGGAGCAGCAGAAUGGGGCAGAAGCCUAGGCCACGAGGAGCAUGCACCUCCUGACAACAGACCCAGGUUGAUCAUCUGGGUGACGAGAGGCUCCUGGUCUGGUCACUCCCUCGCCCACGGCGACAGCUGGCCAUCCACGGAAUGUGUGGGUGGGGCCAUGCUAGACCACCCAGCCCCUUGCUCUUCGGCCCGCUGACCAGAGACAUCUCUGGAGCCCAGCCCAGAUCCGCGGAGCCCCAGCGUACUCAAGCAGCACCAACCGGCUGGCUGUGGCGGUGAAUUUUAUGAGUCAACUUGACAGGGCCGUGGCUGCCCAGCUGAUUGGUUAACCGUCAUGCUGGGUGUGUCUGUGAGGGUGUUCCCGGAAGAGAGUAGCAUGUGAAUUGGUAAACUGAGGAAAGCAGAUGGCCAUCCCAGCCUGGGUGGGGCUCAGCCAUCCCGUUGGAAGCCUUAGGAGAACAAAAGGUGACAUGAAGGAGAAUUCUCUUUCUCUGCUUGUCUUUAAGCUGGGACAUGGGUCUCCUCCCGCCUGCGGGCUCUGACUGGGACUUGCCCCUCCCCUCUCCUGAUGGCCAGCUUGUCACCUGCAGAUGGUGGGAUCUCAGCUUGGGUCACUGCGUGAGCCAAUUCCUAUAAUACAUCUCUCUCUCUCCUAUGUGUCUCCUAUUGGUUCUGUUUCUCUGGAGAACCCAGGAUAAUUGGCUGACUGUAGACUCAUGAGCAAUAACAGGUGCUAACUGUUUUAGGCCCCUGGGCCAUGGGCUGGCUUGUUGCGCGGCAAUAGCUAACUGAUACACUGUAUCUGCCUGUGGCCUUGGAGCUGCCCCAUCGCCUUCCGUGCUCUGUGGACCUUUCUCACAGGACAGGUUUCUUCAAACAGCAGCUCAUCUCGGGCUCCUGACACUUUUUAGUUUAAUACAAUUCAGCAAAUAUUUGAGUGACUCUGCUGCCAGGUACGGGGGCUAUAGCAGUAAAUAUGAAACUUUCUGCUGCUGUCUCUUGGAACUUUCUGCUCAUGGGAAGCCGAUGUUAGACAAAUAGUUACAAGUGCAGUGAGCAUUGUGAGAAGUGGGCUACAGGCCCUAUGGGGCCUGAUUUAGGCUGGGGGUCCAAGAAGGCCUCUCAGAGGAGGGGGUUUGACAGCUGUGCUCUCAGGCAAAGGCAAGGGGUGGGGAGGAGAGGGUACUUUCCAGCAGAGGGAACAGCGUGUGAAAAGCCUGGAGGCAAGAAACAGCAUGUUGAGUGGUCCACGGAAGGUUUGUGAAACCCCAAAACUCAGCCAGGGGAUGGCCCUGGGCUCAAAUCCUAGCUCAUCACAUUCAGGCUGCGUGAUCCUGGCAAACUUUUCAUCUCUAAGCUUGUUUUCUUUUCUAUAAAAUUGAGUAGCAGUAGUAUCCAGCUUCCAGGCAUGUGGUAAAAAUAAAAUAUAAUAUGCAUAAAAAACAGCAUUCAGGAUUACCUGUAAGUAUAUUUUCACUAUAAUUUUACAAACAUUUUAUCAAAAAACAGCUCAACCAACACCUAUGUAUC
rnacentral:lncRNA from 1 species